UACGUAGGGGGCUAGCGUUGUCCGGAUUUAUUGGGCGUAAAGAGCUCGUAGGCGGCUUGUCGCGUCGUCCGUGAAAACCUGCGGCUCAACUGCAGGCUGGCGGUCGAUACGGGCAGGCUGGAGUUCGGUAGGGGAGACUGGAAUUUACGGUGUAGCGGUGAAAUGCGUAGAUAUCGUAAGGAAGACCAGUGGCGAAGGCGGGUCUCUGGACAGUUCCUGACGCUGAGGCACGAAGGCCAGGGGAGCAAACGGG
rnacentral:rRNA from 1 species